rnacentral:rRNA from 1 species
AUUGAACGCUGGCGGCAGGCUUAACACAUGCAAGUCGAACGGUAACAGGGAGCUUGCUCCGCUGACGAGUGGCGAACGGGUGAGUAAUGCAUCGGAACGUGCCGAGUAGUGGGGGAUAACGCAUCGAAAGGUGUGCUAAUACCGCAUACGUACUGAGGUAGAAAGUGGGGGACCUUCGGGCCUCACGCUAUUCGAGCGGCCGACGUCUGAUUAGCUAGUUGGUGAGGUAAAGGCUCACCAAGGCGACGAUCAGUAGCGGGGCUGAGAGGAUGAUCGGCCACACUGGGACUGAGACACGGCCCAGACACCUACGGGAGGCAGCAGUGGGGAAUUUUGGACAAUGGGCGCAAGCCUGAUCCAGCCAUGCCGCGUGUCUGAAGAAGGCCUUCGGGUUGUAAAGGACUUUUGUCCGGGAGCAAAUGCCUGGUGUUAAUAGCACUGGGAGCUGAGAGUACCGGAAGAAUAAGCACCGGCUAACUACGUGCCAGCAGCCGCCGCAGUAA